rnacentral:lncRNA from 1 species
GGAGAGACCGCCAGGUAUAAAAAUAGUUCCUCUCCAGGCUCUGGCUUCACCAACAGCGGAGGUGAGCCGAGGUAGCUCCUUAGUUCUUCGAACGUCUGUUGGCACUCAGGGGUCCAACAGAAGUUCUUCGACCGCUUGAGGGUUUGGAAGAAGGGUAAGCACCGUUCGGCCGACCUCGUGACGAAGCGAUUCAGGACUGCUACCCUCCCU